GCAGAGCAUAUAGGGAAGUGAGCGGGGAGAAGCGUUCUUUUCCCUCGUGGUGCAGGCUGAAGGCGGCUGGCGGGGCUGUGUUGGAGAGGCAGGCAAAGUCCACCCACAGUUUUGGAUGAUGAAUGUUAUGUUUCAGAAUACAGACCAACAUGAAGCUGACUUGAAGGAUACCCCUUUCUGUGCUGGAAUCCUGUUGUAAAACCACAGUGACAUACUUAGAGGAUGGUAGCUAUUGCUCAUAUGAAAUUAUCAAGGCUGAUGCAAAACGUUAAAACUAAGCACAUGAACCCAUGACAAAACCAGCUGAGCUUGUACAGUGCAAAAAUGAGCAAAUGAAACAACAUCAGUUAUUUGCUCGUUAAAAUGGCUGAGUUCUGCUGCAUCUUCUAUGUUAGCUUUACAUAUGGCAAAAGCUAAAAAAGUCACAAUAGAGCUGGUGAAAGCAGUUAUAGGAGAGCAUACGGUAAGACGCAUGCUAUUGCUCUUCAAAUACCAUUAGUCCUAUUGUUUCUGUGAUCUCAGAUGAUAAGAUGUUAAACUAGCAAGCUUGCAGUACAGUUGGAUGACUCUACUAAUGCUGCAACUUAGGAGUGUUUUGAUCAUCCUUAUUGAGGAAAAGGUUUUAGUGAGUGAAGAGCUGCAUACUUGAACCAUUGCAGAGGAAAUUUUCUAAGUAUUUGAGAAGCUUGUGAUUAAAAAUGGUUUGGACUGUAUAACUUCAUUGGCGUAACCCACUGAAAGAGCAUCAGCAAUGACCAGACAAUAUUCAGGAUUAGUACAGGGAACAAAAAAUGUAACUCCAAUGGUCUGUCAUACCACUGCUUCUUACAUUGUGAAGCAUUUUAAAGAGUAGCAAGGGAAGAGUAAAAGGAUAGCCCAAGAGACUGAGUAUUCCUCUGACCUAUUCACUUAAUGGCCAGCCUUGAUUUGCUGUUGUAUCUGUAGUGCUGUAAGACAUUGAGACAUUCUGAGUUUAGAGGAACUUGUUUAAAGAAUCACCAGUCAGAGUUUGGCUUGAAACAGAUGUGUGAUACUUGGCCACAAGUUUCCUUGGCCAAAUAGAACAACUAAUUUACAAUUUGGUGAAUGAGAAAUAUUCACAUCAAGCCGCUGUGAAGCAUCCUUUGGCAGCCACACCUUUCUUUAGGUGUAACAGAAUAAUAGCUUCCAGUAAGCAAAGUCCUGGACAGGGUGUGUUACUAUCAGCAAUAUACAUCUGGCUUAAUAAACAUUGUAGUAGGGAUGUGGCCAGAUGGCAGAAUCUGCAGUCUUCUUUUUAGAAGCCUGCAGACAGCUACAGGCAUAAUUUCAUUGUGGUAGUUAUUGUGAGACAGACACACAGAUUUACUAAAUAACAAGCAAUUUUAGCAAUACAGGUUCUUCUGGUGACAUUUACAGUCCAUGAAAACACUGAAGAUCUUUUGGAUUAUAUUAAAGGAAUGUAUGACAAGAUCUCAUAAGAAGUUGGGAAAAACAACCACUUAACUUUUAUAUCACAAUAGAAUUAUCAUAUAUCCUGCAGACAAAAUUAUGUAAACUGCUAAGAUUGGUAAGCAUGAUACCAACAGAGGUCACGGAGUUAGAAAAGUACAAAGUAAUGAGAAAAUGUUGUGAUCUGCCCCCUCAGCAUGUGGUCUGUUCAUUUCAGUUGGAAAAAUUCACCAAAUGUUUAUAAUUUGAGUAAACGUAUAUAUUUGAGUGUUUCUCACUGAAUAAAUAUGAAAUGCUUAA